UGGGCAACCUGCCUCUAGCUCUGGGAUAACUCCGGGAAACCGGGCUAAUACCGGAUACGACCUCGAGCGGCAUCUAUCGAGGUGGAAAGUUUUUCGGCUAGAGAUGGGCCCGCGGCCUAUCAGCUUGUUGGUGAGGUAACGGCCCACCAAGGCGACGACGGGUAGCCGGCCUGAGAGGGCGACCGGCCACACUGGGACUGAGAUACGGCCCAGACUCCUACGGGAGGCA
rnacentral:rRNA from 1 species